rnacentral:rRNA from 1 species
UACAGGGGGGGCAAGCGUUGUUCGGAAUUACUGGGCGUAAAGGGUUUGUAGGUGGCUUGCUAAGUCAGACGUGAAAUCCCUCAGCUUAACUGGGGAACUGCGUCUGAUACUGGCGAGCUUGAGUGCAGGAGAGGAACGCGGAAUUCCAGGUGUAGCGGUGAAAUGCGUAGAUAUCUGGAGGAACACCGGUGGCGAAGGCGGCAUCCUGGACCGGCAUUGACGCUGAGGAGCGAAAGCCAGGGGAGCAAACGGG